AGCUUGACUGCGAGCGUGACGGCGCGAGCAGGUGCGAAAGCAGGUCAUAGUGAUCCGGUGGUUCUGAAUGGAAGGGCCAUCGCUCAACGGAUAAAAGGUACUCCGGGGAUAACAGGCUGAUACCGCCCAAGAGUUCAUAUCGACGGCGGUGUUUGGCACCUCGAUGUCGGCUCAUCACAUCCUGGGGCUGAAGUAGGUCCCAAGGGUAUGGCUGUUCGCCAUUUAAAGUGGUACGCGAGCUGGGUUUAGAACGUCGUGAGACAGUUCGGUCCCUAUCUGCCGUGGGCGCUGGAGAACUGAGGGGGGCUGCUCCUAGUACGAGAGGACCGGAGUGGACGCAUCACUGGUGUUCGGGUUGUCAUGCCAAUGGCACUGCCCGGUAGCUAAAUGCGGAAGAGAUAAGUGCUGAAAGCAUCUAAGCACGAAACUUGCCCCGAGAUGAGUUCUCCCUGACUCCUUGAGAGUCCUGAAGGAACGUUGAAGACGACGACGUUGAUAGGCCGGGUGUGUAAGCGCAGCGAUGCGUUGAGCUAACCGGUA
rnacentral:rRNA from 1 species